AAACAGUCACACAAAAAUGGGGAACAAUUCAGAGUGAGCGAGAGGGAAGGAGGGAGACGUGUUCAUCACCCCGUGGCACCAAUUUACCAUUUGCUGCAGUGAUUUGUCGACUUCUUAAUCACCAAACUAGGUAAGAAAUGUCAGAUUUAUUUGUGUGAAAAUGGGCUUUGCAUGUUGAAAUCGCAUUCAGUCCGAUUGUUGUGAAUCAUUUAAUUUCAAUUCAAUUUCUUGCAAUUUUUUUCCCAUAAUUGUUGUGUUUUUUAAGGUAAUCUUUCUCUAGCAACAGCGAUUUUUCGACUGCAUCUCUUAAUUUUAUGAUGCGGUUAUUUUAUGGUUUUCUCCUUGCCUUUAGAACUGGCCGCCCCUCAAGUGUGAUUGUUGAAGUACCCAGGACCAAAAUGUAAUGGGGGCAGUUGCCCUAUCAGGGGCGGAUGCAGUGGAACAGUAGAGAACAAUGGAAAGAAAGUAUUUUUGUAAUGGAAAAUGUGAUAUAUGAAGUUGAAAUAUUCUUCAUGAUGCUGAGUGAUUUACACUUUAUUUAACAAAAUAAUGUAUGAGCCUAGUUACUCAGUAGGAAAGUUGGGUGUGGCCGGCAGCGAGCGUUUAUAUUCCUUGAAUUUUUAGCACAAGGCAUAGGCAGUGAAUGUAUAAACUCAAGAUGGAUGACUGGUAAGUUUUGAUAGAGUUGUUGGGGAAAAUAAUAGGAAGCAAAAAGACUGAAAUGGAAUGGUUGAGAUAUAUUCAUAUUCUUUUGUUUUACAUGUUUAUAAUGGUUUACAUACACAUAACAUAAUAUGGUGAGAUAUAAUUGGAUCAAAAUUUCCUCAAACAAAUUAAAAAAAAUCUCUCCCACUCUCUUUUUGAUGCCUCAUCCGUAUGUAAGUCAUUAUGUAGCAUUGUUCAAAUUCCAUUGUGCCAGACUGCGGGAUUUUGAGCCUAGAUUUAAAAAUUUGAAUAAUGUGCUUUCAUUUAAAUUACAAGAAGUUAGAGAGAAAAGGAGAAGUAUAUAAAUCAGGUUGUUGAAUUUAGAUAUUGCUCAGUGCUUUCUAGGGCUCAUAAAUGUACUUUGCAAGAGUCAAGUUUGGUUAAAUUUACAGCAUAGUGAUAAGGAGAUAAAUUCAUUAUCAGCAUAAUGUUUGUCUCUUUUCAUAGGCGUUUUUGUCCUCCAUGUACUGAAUACAGGGGCAUGAGAUCUGUUUUUUAAAAGUUACAUAUGAAUCAGAUUUUGUUAUAG
rnacentral:lncRNA from 1 species